rnacentral:rRNA from 1 species
UACGUAGGUCCCGAGCGUUGUCCGGAUUUAUUGGGCGUAAAGCGAGCGCAGGCGGUUUGAUAAGUCUGAAGUUAAAGGCUGUGGCUCAACCAUAGUUCGCUUUGGAAACUGUCAAACUUGAGUGCAGAAGGGGAGAGUGGAAUUCCAUGUGUAGCGGUGAAAUGCGUAGAUAUAUGGAGGAACACGGUGGCGAAAAGCGGCUCUCUGGUCUGUAACUGACGCUGAGGCUCGAAAGCGUGGGGAGCAACAGGAUUAGAUACCCACGUAUC